GCUAACUCGGUGCCAGGAGGCGGGGGAAUACGGAGGGUGCGAGCGUUAAUCGGAAUUAGUGGGCGUAAAGCGUGCGCAGGCGGUUUGUUAAGCGAGAUGUGAAAGCCCUGGGCUCAACCUAGGAAUAGCAUUUCGAAGUGGCGAACUAGAGUCUUGUAGAGGGGGGUAGAAUUCCAGGUGUAGCGGUGAAAUGCGUAGAGAUCUGGAGGAAUACCGGUGGCGAAGGCGGCCCCCUGGACAAAGACUGACGCUCAUGCACGAAAGCGUGGGGAGCAAACAGGAUUAGAUACCCGAGUAGUC
rnacentral:rRNA from 1 species